UGGAUCAUCCGUCAUGCGCUACCAACAAAGAUAUACAAAAAAUAAAAAAAAUACCAAACAAACGAUAAAAAAAAAUAAAUACAGAAAGAAGAAACCAAAAUUUAUCUGGUUCAGCAAUUGCCUACGUUCACGAAAAAAGCGAAAGAGAUAUAUUUCACUGUAUGAAAAAAUAGAAAUACAAGCUUACACCUUAUGCCUUCUCCGGAUAGAAAUCAAGAACCUUAUAAUAAAUUCUACCUUUUUUGUUCCAACAAGAACUCCAAAAAAAUACCGAUUUUUCUUUUUCGUAAAAAUGAGAUAGUAUAGAAAAUCUGAACAAAUUCCUUUUGUCGUUGAUUCGAAAAAUCCAAACCGCUCAGACAAUUGGUCGAGAACCUCCGCUCCUGCUGCCGACUCCAUCCGAUG
rnacentral:lncRNA from 1 species